rnacentral:rRNA from 1 species
AAUAUUGCACAAUGGGCGAAAGCCUGAUGCAGCGACGCCGCGUGGGGGAUGAAGGCCUUCGGGUUGUAAACCCCUUUCAGCUGGGAAGAAGCGAGAGUGACGGUACCUGCAGAAGAAGCGCCGGCUAACUACGUGCCAGCAGCCGCGGUAAAAUGGAGGGCGCAAACGUUGUCCGGAAUUAUUGGGCGUAAAGAGCUCGUAGGCGGUGAGUAACGUCUGCUGUGAAAGCCCGAGGCUCAACCUCGGGCCUGCAGUGGGUACGGGCUGACUAGAGUGCGGUAGGGGAGACUGGAAUUCCUGGUGUAGCGGUGGAAUGCGCAGAUAUCAGGAGGAACACCGAUGGCGAAGGCAGGUCUCUGGGCCGCAACUGACGCUGAGGAGCGAAAGCAUGGGGAGCGAACA